CAUGUCUAAGUACAUGCCGAAAUAAGGUGAAACCGCGAAUGGCUCAUUAAAUCAGUUAUGGUUUCUUAGAUCGUACUUUUUUACUUGGAUAACUGUGGUAAUUCUAGAGCUAAUACAUGCAGCAGAGCCCCGACCUUAGGGAAGGGGCGCUUUUAUUAGACCAAGACCAAUCGGGCUUCGGCCCGCUUACCAUGGCGACUCUGGAUAACUUUGGGCAAAUCGCACGAUCUCGUAUCGGCGAUGUUUCUUUCAAGUGUCUGCCUUAUCAACUUUCGAUGGUAGGCUACGCGCCUACCAUGGUCGUAACGGGUAACGGGGAAUCAGGGUUCGAUUCCGGAGAGGGAGCCUGAGAAACGGCUACCACAUCCAAGGAAGGCAGCAGGCGCGCAAAUUACCCACUCCCGGCACGGGGAGGUAGUGACGAAAAAUAACAAUACGGGACUCUUUUGAGGCCCCGUAAUUGGAAUGAGUACACUCUAAAU
rnacentral:rRNA from 1 species